rnacentral:rRNA from 1 species
GACGAACGCUGGCGGCGUGCUUAACACAUGCAAGUCGAGCGGAAAGGCCCUUCGGGGUACUCGAGCGGCGAACGGGUGAGUAACACGUGAGUAACCUGCCCUCAGCUUCGGGAUAAGCCUGGGAAACUGGGUCUAAUACCGGAUACGACCAUUGGAUGCAUGUCUGGUGGUGGAAAGUUUUUCGGCUGGGGAUGGGCUCGCGGUCUAUCAGCUUGUUGGUGGGGUGAUGGCCUACCAAGGCGACGACGGGUAGCCGGCCUGAGAGGGUGACCGGCCACACUGGGACUGAGACACGGCCCAGACUCCUACGGGAGGCAGCAGUGGGGAAUAUUGCGCAAUGGGCGGAAGCCUGACGCAGCGACGCCGCGUGGGGAGGAAGGCCUCGGUUGUAACCCU